rnacentral:lncRNA from 1 species
CAGUUUUUAUACGCCCGUCGUCUUUUAGACGGGACGUAUUAUGGUAUACCGUUGUCCGUCCGUCCGUCCGUCCGUCGUCCACACUUCGGACAAUAACUCAAAAACAGUUUCACCAAUUUCCAUGAAACUUAUGUGAAUUGUUUAUAUCUAUUGACGUAAGCUCCCUUUCGUUUUUUUUUAAUUUCAGAUUUUAAGUUUUGGAUUUAUGGGGCUUUAUUCAUAAAAAAGGGGGGAUUUUCAACACUUCGGACAAUAACUCAAAAAGGCUUUCACCAAUGUCCAUGAAACUUUGGUGAAUUGUUUAUAUCUAUUGAUGUAAGCUCCCUUUCAAUUUUUAUAAAUUUCAGAUUUUAAGUUUUGGAUUUAUGGGGCUUUAUUCAUAAAAAAGGGGGAUUUUCAACACUUUCGGACAAUAACUCAAAAAGGCUUUCACCAAUGUCCAUGAAACUUUGGUGAAU